rnacentral:tRNA from 1 species
AUAGCUCAGUGGUACAGCACCUGCCUGGCAAGCAUGAGGUCAUGGAUUCAAUUCCCAGU